AUUGAACGCUGGCGGAAUGCUUUACACAUGCAAGUCGAACGGCAGCACGGACUUCGGUCUGGUGGCGAGUGGCGAACGGGUGAGUAAUGUAUCGGAACGUGCCCAGUCGUGGGGGAUAACGUAGUGAAAAUUACGCUAAUACCGCAUACGAUCUAUGGAUGAAAGCGGGGGAUCGCAAGACCUCGCGCGAUUGGAGCGGCCGAUAUCAGAUUAGGUAGUUGGUGGGGUAAAGGCCCACCAAGCCAACGAUCUGUAGCUGGUCUGAAAGGACGACCAGCCACACUGGAACUGAGACACGGUCCAGACGCCUACGGGAGGCAGCAGUGGGGAAUUUUGGACAAGGGGCGAAAGCCUGAUCCAGCCAUUCCGCGUGCAGGAUGAAGGCCCUCGGGUUGUAAACUGCUUUUGUACAGAACGAAAAGGUUUCUACUAAUACUAGGAGCUCAUGACGGUACUGUAAGAAUAAGCACCGGCUAACUACGUGCCAGCCGCCGCCGUAA
rnacentral:rRNA from 1 species